rnacentral:lncRNA from 1 species
AAAUAAUUUGACUCCCAAAGAGAACAUUUCUGUUUAAAAUUACUUAUACCCUUUUGUAGUAGUUUUUGAUCUUAUGUAGAAGAUUUUAAAUUGGCUUUUGGGCCCGUGUUCUGCAUAUUUUAGAACUGAAUUAAUUGUGAGCAUUAUGGGGUUCUUUUCUUGAAAGAUUGUUCUGUUCUGUUUUCUCCUUAGAGAAAUGUCAUAUGAGGCUUCUUUGAAAUGAAAGCUUAUAGUUAAUAAAAUGCAUUUAGCUAUGUGUAAGCUGUGACUGACUGAACUGAACUUUUCCAGGUACUACUUUUAUAUACCAUAGGCUUCCCACACAUCUACAAGACUGAGGUCAGCAAACAACUUUUUCUGUAUAAACACUGUUAUGCAAGACUCCUGAAGCUGCUGUGCCCACAGAAGCAUAAGAUAAUGGAGACGACUCAACAGAUCACUUCCUAAUGGUGUUAAGAGGUGGAAGCUGGUGCAUCCUCGAGUGAAUAUAUUCUCGGAACAGAGGUGUGUUUUUUUUUUAGUUUGUUGGCAGUGAAAGCAAUACCUAAGCAGUUCUGAAGCUGAAUUAUGGGCUUCAGGGUGUAUGGAAAGUUUGCUGGUUACAAGGACGCUGACAUCUAUCCCUUUCACUAAACUGUUAAAUAAAGAAAAUCCUAAACUC